rnacentral:rRNA from 1 species
CCUACGGGAGGCAGCAGUAGGGAAUCUUCCGCAAUGGACGAAAGUCUGACGGAGCAACGCCGCGUGAGCGAUGAAGGCCUUCGGGUCGUAAAGCUCUGUUGUUAGGGAAGAACAAGUGCUAGUUGAAUAAGCUGGCACCUUGACGGUACCUAACCAGAAAGCCACGGCUAACUACGUGCCAGCAGCCGCGGUAAUACGUAGGUGGCAAGCGUUGUCCGGAAUUAUUGGGCGUAAAGCGCGCGCAGGCGGUUUCUUAAGUCUGAUGUGAAAGCCCCCGGCUCAACCGGGGAGGGUCAUUGGAAACUGGGAAACUUGAGUGCAGAAGAGGAAAGUGGAAUUCCAAGUGUAGCGGUGAAAUGCGUAGAGAUUUGGAGGAACACCAGUGGCGAAGGCGACUUUCUGGUCUGUAACUGACGCUGAGGCGCGAAAGCGUGGGGAGCAAACAGGAUUAGAUACCCUGGUAGUCCACGCUGUAAACGAUGAGUGCUAAGUGUUAGAGGGUUUCCGCCCUUUAGUGCUGAAGUUAACGCAUUAAGCACUCCGCCUGGGGAGUACGGUCGCAAGACUGAAACUCAAAGGAAUUGACGG